rnacentral:tRNA from 1 species
GCCGGAGUGGUGGAAUUUGGCAGACGCGCUGCGUUCAGGGCGCAGUGGGCUUUACGCCCGUGGGGGUUCAAGUCCCCCCUCCGGCACCA